rnacentral:rRNA from 1 species
AUACGUAGGAUGCGAGCGUUAUCCGGAUUUAUUGGGUUUAAAGGGAGCGUCGGUGGAUUGUUAAGUCAGUUGUGAAAGUUUGCGGCUCAACCGUAAAAUUGCAGUUGAAACUGGCAGUCUUGAGUACAGUAGAGGUGGGCGGAAUUCGUGGUGUAGCGGGGAAAUGCUUAGAUAUCACGAAGAACUCCGAUUGCGAAGGCAGCUCACUAGACUGUUACUGACACUGAUGCUCGAAAGUGUGGGUAUCAAACAGGAUUAGAUACCCUGGUAGUCCACACAGUAAACGAUGAAUACUCGCUGUUUGCGAUAUACAGUAAGCGGCCAAGCGAAAGCAUUAAGUAUUCCACCUGGGGAGUACGCCGGCAACGGUGAAACUCAAAGGAAUUGGCGGGG